AACGAACGCUGGCGGCGCGUCUUAAGCAUGCAAGUCGAACGGCAAGAGAGGAGCUUGCUUCUCUCCUAGAGUGGCGGACUGGUGAGGAACACGUGGGUAAUCUACCCUUAAGAUGGGGAUAGCUGCUAGAAAUAGCAGGUAAUACCGAAUACACUCGGCAUGUCACAAGAGGUGUUGAGGAAAGGAAGCUACGGCUUCGCUUGAGGAUGAGCUUGCGUCCCAUUAGCUAGUUGGUGAGGUAAAGGCCCACCAAGGCGACGAUGGGUAUCCGGCCUGAGAGGGUGAACGGACACAUUGGGACUGAGAUACGGCCCAAACUCCUACGGGAGGCAGCAGCUAAGAAUAUUCCGCAAUGGACGGAAGUCUGACGGAGCGACGCCGCGUGGAUGAAGAAGGCUGAAAAGUUGUAAAAUCCUUUUGUUGAUGAAGAAUAAGGGUGAGAGGGAAUGCUCAUCUGAUGACGGUAAUCGACGAAUAAGCCCCGGCUAAUUACGUG
rnacentral:rRNA from 1 species